rnacentral:snoRNA from 14 species
AUACCAUGGGUCACAUAUGUGUAGGUAGGUGCAGAAAUGUUAUGUCUAUACUCAGUUUUCUGACCUAUGAACAUCUGAAUUAUUAGUAGCCUAACAUU